rnacentral:rRNA from 1 species
UACGAAGGGGGCUAGCGUUGCUCGGAAUCACUGGGCGUAAAGGGAGCGUAGGCGGCCUUGUAAGUCAGUGGUGAAAUCUUCCCGCUUAACGGGAAAACUGCCAUUGAUACUGCAGGGCUUGAGUACAGAUGCUGUGGGCGGAAUAUGACAUGUAGUGGUGAAAUACAUAGAGAUGUCAUAGAACACCGAUUGCGAAGGCAGCUCACAAAACUGUAACUGACGCUGAGGCUCGAAAGUGUGGGGAUCAAACAGG